AAGUGGCAGAAUGAUGAUUCAAUUAGAUGUAUGAAGAAGAAAUUAGUUUUUCUUUCUCAUGAAUUUAAAAUUCUUGAGGCAUAAUUUUGUCUGACCUGCUUGCUU